rnacentral:lncRNA from 1 species
CUAAACUCUACAAAGCUCUUGCAAAAGAUGCUGAUGAAAUAGUCCCAAAGGUGAUUUCUGCUGCCCAAAGUGUUGAAAUUGUUGAAGGAAAUGGUGGACCUGGCACCAUCAAAAAGUUAUCCAUGUCUGAAGGUAAUUCAUUAAGAGCAUUUACUAUAUCCCUGUCAAAAAAAUACAACUUUAUUAAUUAGUAAUUCAAUAGACAUGUUAAGAAAUCAUAUACUCACUUUUAUUUUUGAAUUAGAUUUUGAGUGUUGAAGGAGACCAAUGAUAAUACAUAAACUGAGUCUAUAUAUAAAUAAUAAGCUUCAAGAAACAACUAAUUUCCAUGGAAAAAGAAUAUAUAAGAUACUUCAUGCAAGAUUCAAGAGAACCACUAAACUGGAGACAGGGCCGGCCUAAGGACCAAACAACCUAAACAAGGGUUUUAGGCUUCAAAACUUUUGGUAAAAAAAAAGGUCUUUAAAAAAUUAAUUUGGUCAUAAGUAUAUUAUAUGACAGAUAAAUUACAGACAUUUGAAUAGCUUAACUGAUCAAAAAGGUUUUAAUUACUCAUGGUCAUGAAUUCAAAUUUUGGUCUCCACGCAAUUGCUUUUAUAUAAAUAUUCUAUUAAAAAAAUAAUUUCAAAGGCCACAUUAAAUUUUUUGAUUUAAGCCUCUUAAUCUGUUGGGUCGGCCAUGGCAGGAGAUCCAACUAUUUGUAUAAACUACAGUCGUUGAAAUGUAACUAUUGUGAGAGUGUUGCUUGUUUUCAUUAUAUAUAGUAGUUAUAUAUUCAAAUGAAAUGAAUGAUCAAAUUAACACUAAAAUUUAGUUAAAAUCAUUUCAAAUAUCAAUAUAUUAUUGUCAAGAUUAAAUUAUGUAAUUUUAUAUGAUUUCAACCUAAUGGUAAAGAGUGGUUAUAAUAUAUCCAGAUUAAUUGUAAAUAGACUCGUAUUCAAUAAUUAUAGUAAUUAAGAUCAACUUUUUAAUCAGCCCAAUAAAAUGUGUGGUCUACAACUAUAAGAUUCACACAAUAUUAUAGUAAAAUAGACUUAACAAUCAAGUGAUUAAAUAUAUCCAGUUACAUUAGAAUUGAUCUAUGACAAAAACAAUUUUUAGUCGAACUUUACUUUCAUUUUGAGGGAACCAACUUAUAUAAAUUAUGAUGGUUGUAUUGUAGGUGGCAAAACCGACUAUGUGCUACACAAAUUAGAAGCAAUGGAUGAAGCAAACUUGGGAUACAACUAUAGCAUUGUAGGAGGAACAGGGUUGGAUGAAAGUUUAGAAAAAGUUGAAUUCGAGACAAGUAUUGUGGCUGGCUCUGAUGGUGGAUCCAUUGUUAAGAUUUCAGUGAAAUACCACACCAAAGGUGAUGCAACUCUAUCUGAUGCAGUGCGUGAUGAAACUAAGACCAAAGGAACUGGACUUAUCAAGGCCAUUGAGGGAUACGUUUUGGCAAACCCUAAUUAUUAAGUAAAAUGUAUACUUGGUUGUGUUGUGUCAUACCAAUAAUAAUUGAAGUUUAUGAUAUGGUUGUUUGAUUUAUACAUCACGAUUUCUAGCUUAUACAUGUGUGUGGGCUUUGUUGUUUAAUUACAAAAAUCUAUGUGUUGAUGUUGAGGUUUUGUACCAUCUAUAAUUCUGUAAUAAAUAAUGAAGAAUUUUCUAGCACUUUUCAUUCGGUAUUUUAACUUUAUAUGCCUUGACCAUUAUUGGUACACCAAUUUCCUUUCCUCUUGUUAUCCUUUUUUUUUCUUUCUUUGGAUUUAUUUUUGACUUGUAACACAUAAAAACUCAACUCAUCACUAGCAUGCUUUGAAUUUUACUAUGGCUGAGAAAAAGUAAAAACAUAAUGUGAGUAUGAUAGAGAAAGUUGUCAUAUAAUGGUUAUAUAAAUAUUAUUUCUCUAUCAUAAAUGUAAAGUGGAAGAUAUUGAAUUGAGAGUGAUGAAAUUUGUAUGGGUCUUGUUAACGAGUGCCCCCGAGGGCACUCUUUAAGCAUACUAAAUUAGAAAAUUAUUCUUUAAAAAAUUCAAAUAAUUCAAUUUCCAAUGCAUUGAAUACAUAACUUUUCAUAAAAAGUUACUAUUUAAGACCCUUAAAGAGUGUCCCCAGGGCACUAGUUAACAUUUCUGAAUUAUAGUAUUAAUUAAGAUGUAUAAUUGAAAAAAGAUAGUUAAUUAAUAUUAUAUUAAAAAGUGAAAUUGAUCAUUCAUUUUAGAUCUUUCUUCUUUUUUACAAAUAAAUUACUUAUUGUGGAACAUGAGGAGUAUCAUUUAUGCUCAAACUAAUCAUGCAAACUCUAAUAUAUAUAAACAAUUAUAAAUCAAAUAGACUUCAAUUUGAUAUUCCUUGCACUCGAAUAAUUUGGUAAGAGACAAAUUAAAUAAAGGAAUUUAAGUUUUUAUAAAUAAUCAACAUGUUAUAAGAUACAAUUGUUUGAAAAAGAAGAAUGGUGGUUUGCGGGUUAGGGUCUCUUAGUUAAUCAUCUAUUUCUGUUUCAUGUUUUUUUUUUUAAUAAUUUAUUUCUGUUUCAUGUUAUUUACCAACUUUAUAUUAGUUUUUUUGUAACUUUUUUAGUACAACUUGUGCUGAAAAGAUUUUGGUUAAUGAUAUUCUAUUUUGACAUGCUAAAAAAAAUGAUGAAUGUGAACCCGUUAAAUAAGUAAACGAUAUAGUACAUAGGUUGCAUAUUUUUAAACUUUGCCGUCUUUGAAUUGAAUUCUUGAUGCUUUUGUCCAAGUCAAAUUUCGAUUUUUAAUUCCUUUGCCCAUCUCUUCAUCGGCCAAAACUUCUGAGCUAAUAAGUCAUUGAUCUAUAUCUAUAUAUCUAUCUAAAGAAAAGUCAUUGAGUUGAAAAUAUCAUUUUGAAGAUAUGCUCUACAAUUUAUGGUUUUGAAAAAUAAUACACGCUCUCUAAUAUGGACAGCUUUGUUUUACACACUUAUUAAUCCUACUUAUUAAAGGUGCUACUAGCUAGUAACAGAUGGGAAACUUUUUGUUUCAAGUUUACCAAAUUUAUUUUUGGUGAUAACAUUUCUUGGAACAUAAAGAUGAGAAUUUUAUUCUAAAAUAUUUAGAAAAAAGAUGUUUGCUUAACAUUAUAGUAUUCUCAGAAACCAUAAAAAUAAGGAUUAUAAUAGAUAAUUACACAUGAAUCUAUUCCCAUGUUCAUGGGAACUUUAUUCCCACUAGUUUCUGUGAGAAAUUUUUUCCAUUCCCAUAAACAUUUUAUACCUGCGAAUAAAAUUUAAUAAAUUUGUAACAAACAUAGACAUGCAUAUGUCUAUUGUUUUAUUCCCAAAAAUCUACAUAGAUAACUUGAAAUAAACGUACCCUUAAAUUUAAUUAUUUACUGAAAAGAAAAAUGUGAUAAGGAAUCUGUUUCUACACCUCCAGGAAACACUAUCUCUUUUUCUUUUACGGAUCAAAGCUACAUUAUUUAGUUCCGUAAAUACAAUUUGAAUGGUAAAAAAUUUAAAGAUAUUUGAUUAAUUGGAGUGCGAGUUUGAAUAUAUAAUUCUUCACUUUAAAUGUUUUAAAGUAGAAUUGAUUUUUUUUGUAAAAUUAAUUCUACUCAAAGCUAAAUGUCGAGGCACGAAUAUUGUUCAAUUCACUUUUACUUAAAUAUAAUAAAACAUAUAUUAUUUUACAUUUAAUCAGAAUUAACUGUACAAAAUUAAUUCAUUUAGAAUCAAAUUUUUGUUGUGUAGCAUAAACAAACACACACUAAAUUACGUAGUUUGAUUUCUUUAUUAAAAAAAAGAAAGAGUAAAAUGAUUUCAUAUUUUGUCUUCAUUCCCAUUAGUUUGUUAUUGUCUUUGUAAUAAAAAAAUUAAAAAAAAUAUUUUUUUUCACUACGUAAAAACUUCACGUAGAUCUUUUUAUCAUUAAUUAAUUCGUGCGUGGUUAUGUACGACUGAGUCUCCUUAUUUUAGGAUAACGACUUCAAAUCUUUCAUACAUCAAUCUUCACCAAACUUUAACGGUGUGUUUGGAUGUAAGAUGAAAAUGAAAAGUGAUAAACAGAUGAGAAAGAGUGUGAGAAGAGAGAAAGCGAUAAGCAAUACAAUAGAUUUGUAGCAUUGAUUAGUAUAAAAAUGAGAAGAGAAAUAUAAAAAAAAAAAACAGAUAUUUUAUUCUUUGAAAAAGACAAAAACAACCUCCAUUAAAAAUAAAAUAGUAAAAUAUCGCUACUAUAUUAUGCUAUCUAAAGUUUGUCAUAAAAAUUAUCCUAUAUUAUAAUUUAUUAGUAUAAUAAUAAAUCUCAUGAAAUAAAGUGAAAAAUUAUUUACUUUUUCAUUGUGCUGUAAAAAAGUACUCCAUGUUAAUCAAUGUAUAAAGCAUUUAAAAGAAAGGGGCAUAAUUGGAAAUAUGCAAUAAAUAGGUUGCUCUAUUGGACUUUCAGGAUUGAAAAAACUGUCGGUACCAAAAAUUAAUUCGAACUUGAAUUAUUUCUUUUAACGCAACUUUAGAUGGCUCCUUGUGACUUUAAUUAAUAAUAUCAAACAUUUAUCUUGUAAAACAAGGUAGGACCUACCAAUAUGUCACUUAGUCAUGGAUUUCUAGACUAAUUCACAUUUUUAGAAUCGAAUUCAAGAUUGUCGACAUCACAAAGAGAAUUGACCCAAUAAAUAAAUAUCAAAAUACUUGAGCUAAAUAAAUAAGUGAGAUUUUGCAAACAAGGUAGGUCCUACCAAAGUUCUAUAAAUAGUAACCCUCAAUGUGUUAUAAACCGCAUCACAAACUAAAAUAGUAGCAUUAUUCAUAUUAUACAUUAAUUUCUCCUUUCAUUUACUUAUUGCAUAUUGAUCCUUUUUAUCUUGAUAUAUAUCAUGGGUUCUUUUGUUUUCAUUGAUGAACAUGUCUCAACUGUGGCUCCAGCUAAACUUUACAAAGCACUUGCAAAAGAUGCUGAUGAAAUCAUCCCAAAGGUGAUUCCAGCUGCUCAGAGUGUUGAAAUUGUUGAAGGAAAUGGAGGACCUGGCACCAUUAAGAAGUUAUCCAUGUCUGAAGGUAAUUGAUUAAGAUUAUAUAACAUUUACACAGUUGAAUUUUUGGGACUAGAGUUGAUUGUUGGUAUAUUGAAAUGAGAUUCAACAAUCAAGUAAUUAACGAUAUCCAGUUACGUUCAGAUUGAUCAAUGACUUAAACAAUUUUUAGUCAAACUUUAUUUAAAUUUGAGGGAACAAAACUUAUAUAAAUUAUGAUGGUUUAAUUGUAGGUGGUAAAACCGACUUUGUGCUACACAAAUUAGAAGCAAUGGAUGAGGCAAACUUGGGAUACAACUAUAGCAUAGUAGGAGGAACAGGAUUGGAUGAAAGUUUAGAGAAAGUUGAAUUUGAGACAAAUAUUGUGGCUGGAUCUGAUGGUGGAUCCAUUGUUAAGAUUUCAGUGAAAUAUCACACCAAAGGUGAUGCAGUUCUAUCUGAAGCUGUACGUGAGGAAACUAAGGCCAAAGGAACUGGACUUAUCAAGGCCAUUGAGGGUUAUGUUUUGGCAAACCCUAAUUACUAGCAAAUUAAACAUUUGCUUUAAUAAUAAUUAAAGACUAUGAUAUGGUUGAAUGUGUGUUGGAUAUUUUGAGGUUUGAGUGUUGUUUUGAGUGUUUAAAAACAAAAACCAAUGUUGUGUUGGUGAUGAGGUUUUGCACCAUCUGUAUUAUGUAAUAAAUAAUGCAAAAGAAUUUUCUAGCACUUUCCGUUAUUUUUUUAGAGGAAUAGCACUUUACAUCAUUUUAAUUUAAUUUAGGAUAACAUCAAACUAAUAGUGCAUGUGGUUUUCAAUUGGUUGAAUUUUAAACUAACACUGUCUACGGUUCGAUUAUUUAAACAGUUUGGUUGAGUUUUGUCUUGAAUUGAUUUGAGCAAAUUAAAGCAAUUGAAUCAUGUUUUGAAAGUCUCAUCAUCUUGUCCAAUAUGAUUUUUAAAACAAAACCUACUGGUUUGAUAAACCGUUAAAAGGGAAUUAGAAUACAUCGAAACAACACAAAUUUUUAUGAUACUAAAAUUAAAGAAGAUAAAAUUGUGAAUACCUAUAAAAGUCUCACAACACCCUAAUUUCUUUUUUCUUUUUUAAAACACAUGUAAGUUAAUAACAUAAAAGGAUAAAAAUACCUAUAAAUACGACAAAUAAAGCAACUAAAAUACUAUAUGCAGAGCCUACCCAACAUUUUGGUAGGCCUAAAGUGAAUUUUUUAUUGAUGCUUUUUAAAGUAAAAUAUUAAACUUUGUUGAACCCAAGGUUUGAACCAAAGAUGCAGAGGAUUUGAGACCUCUUCUUGACGAACUAAAGUUAUGCAAGCAUUUAUAAUUAUUUUAUCAUAUUAUGUAUUUAUAUCUAAAGUUGAUAUGGUCAUUGCGUAUCCACGAGGAUUUGAGGCCUCUUUGUUGCUGCCUACCCACGAGGUUUAAUUUGCAAAAUCAUGGAGUCCAUUGUCUGUCACUUGUGUGGUUUGUAAUAAUGAUUUGAAAGAUCAAAUGCACAUGUUUAUGCACUGUAAUUUUGCUACUGAUUGUUGGAAAGAAGUAAAUCUUUGGGCAAGAUAAAGUCAUACAUAACGUCAAAUGAUAGUUUUUCAUCCAUUAUCUUUGAUAUUCUUGUAGCUAUUUAUUGAGUGUUUGGCAUGCACGUAAUGCUUGUUUAUGGGAGGAAAAACUUGUCGAUGCACAUACAUCUUGCGUCCUGGAAUUAGAUACAGUUCGAGAUUACGUGUGGUGUCAUCGUCUCAACGAUGUUGUGCAGUCUGCUACUCCAACUUAGUCCAAACUGCAGGCAGAUUGGAUCAAGUCUUACAUCGAUUGUGUUCUUUUUGAAGCUGAUGGAAAAUUUAGUGUUGGUAUCUGUUUUCGAGACCGCCUUAUCCAAGAACUAUUCCAUCCUAUAGCAAGAAGCUUAGAUAUUAUCUUAUAAAGCACAUUACAUAAUGAAAUUACCCUCCAUUCCUUCAUACUAGUUGGUUUUGUCACAUUUAGGAAUAAGGCAAAUAUUAUUAUCAUUCAAUUAAUGUGCUCGGAAAAUAACCUAUAUAUAACCACAUAUUCACAACUUCAAAAAUUUCAUCACUACAAAGAUUCCAAAACCUUGAAAAAAAAAACCCGGAUUAAAACCAUGAAGACUCGAUGACUUAUUUGAAUGCAUUUGAAAUAACGUAAGUUUCAGCUCCUCUUUAGUAAACGGUGCUAAAAUAAGGUUGUUGUUUGCAUCGGUUAUCUUUGGUUGAAGGUGACAACUAGGCUACCCAUGAAAGAAUGAUGGGUAAUUUACCCUAACCAAUACACAUUAGCCACAUAAGCACAUAUUCAUGAACUAUCUUGACCCCACAAAUAAAUUGUUCAUUUUCAUUGGUUGGUAGGUAAAUUACCCACCAUUCUUCAAAAGUAAUUUAAAAAGAACCUUGAUGGAAUCAUACCAAUCAUUAAAAUUUUCAAUAUCACAAUCAUUUACCGCCUCCUUAAACCCAAGAUAAAUCCAAUUAGGAUGGGAAUGUUGGCCUCGAAUAUUCUCUUGAGAUAAAAUAUCAUUAAAAUUUCUUAUGAUACACCAAGGCAUAUGAGACAUGUCCCUCAACUCUCUGAGACAUGUCCCUCAACUCUCUGAGCAUAUUCCAAGAAUCUCUUCUUCGACCUCCUUUUGGGUAACCAUAAAAAUCAGUUAACAUUGAUUCUCUUUUUAUUGUAUCUUCCACAAUUAAAUUGAUAUUGUUUAUAGAGUAAUUAAGAAUUUUACACAAGCUAUUAACUUUUCAUAUCACUGCUAUCUAGGGGUGGGAUUAGGUCGAGUCGGGCCAAACUUUACUUAAAUAGGUCAGAUCUAAUUUAAAAAGUUAAAGCCUAGGCGACCUAUUAGCUUGUCAAAGACUUUAUUUUAAGUCUAAGCUUUUUAAAAGUCUAGCCUAAUAUUGUCAAAAAGCCUAGUUUAUGCUAAGAAUUUUAAAUAGAAUAUCUGUUCUAUUUAUAAAAAGGCUAAUAAACAUAUAUUUCUUAGAAGAUUAAUAUGCCAAUAAAAUUUUGUAGAGCUUGUAUAUCAAUUUUGUUUCACUCUGUAAGCAUAUAUUGCAUGUAAAUCGAAUAUAAUUUGGUAAGGCCUCUACAUCAAUUGUAUAGAGGCUAUUAGCCAUAUAUGGGCCGAAAAUUUAUUAAUACAAUGGAGGAGUAUAUAUAUAUAUAUAUAUAUAUAUAUAUAUAUAUAUAUAUGAGGAGGGAUAUUUUGACUUCAAGAGUAAGUUUAUAGACUUAUUCCAAAUCUCCACCUUUCAUCUUAUUUUAAUCUAAUAGUUUAAAUGUGAGUUUUAAUUGUUAAUCAUGUGACCAUUUUUUUGGAUCUCAUUCUUAUAAAUAUUUUCUCCAUUUAAUCUCCCUUAUUAAUUAAUGUAAUAAAUACCUCCCCAAUUUUAUUUUAUUUUUUGGCGCACCUUUGCCAAUUCAAAAAGUGUUUUUUAAUCUUUUUCUCCAACAUUAGAGCAAGGUUGCAGUUUGAAAUAUAAAUUAAAAUGUAAGCUUUCCACUCUCACCUCUUGAACCUAUGGAUGAGAAGAUUUUUUUUAUUGAAAUGUAAAUCAAAAAGGAAAGAAAUGAGAUUGAGAGCCAUCAUGUAGAAUUGAGGUUGGAGUGAAACGGAGAGCCAUCACUCUAUAUCCUAUUGUGAUUUAUAUGAUUAUCCAAUCAAAGAAAUUGGGUGUAUACAAAAUCAAUUGGGUGAGUUAGGGUACAAAGCAUUAGGAGGAAAUUUUGUUGUUUUCUGAGAGUUAAAAUAAAUAAAAAAGUAAUUAAGGGAUAAAUGAAAUUUGUUUUAUGAGAAUAAAAUAAAAAAACUUAAAAGUGUGUUUAUGAGAGAAAGGAAAUUUGAUUUAUGAGAAUUAAUUAAGGGAGAAUAAUUGGAGAAGGUAUUUAGAUCCACAAAGAUGGUCAUAUGAUUAACAAUUAAAACCCACAUUUAAGCCAUUAGAUUAAAAUAAGAUGAAAGGUGGAGAUUUGGAGUAAGUCUAUAAACUUACUCUUGGAGUCAAAAUAUCCUCUCUCUCUCUCUCUCUCUCUCUCUCUCUCUCUCUCUCUCUCUCUCUCUCUCUCUCUCUGUAUAUAUAUAUAUAUAUGAGAUAUGAGAUAGAAUCCGUUGACACUUUAUAUUGACACCAAAUCAUAUCCCUUGAUUUCAUUUGAUCCAAUAGCUCCUAUUAAUUCACUUAACCUUGUACCUAUGUGUGAUGCACUGAACCACACCGUCGUCUUCAUUCUCACGUUAUACGUACGCCGUCUGCUAUCUGCAGUUUUCGUUCAUCUCUUCUCCCCUUGCACACCUUCACAAAUGCUUCAUCUAUAUUAUGUGUUGCUCCUAUCGAAAUUAAAACCCACUAUUCAAUUAGUGGUGGAUAUGAGUUAAAACCUUGUACGCUAAUUCUUCAAAUGGAUCCUCUAAGAUUAAUUCCUCAAAUUUUUUGAUUAGAUUUAUGAAAUCAAUAAUAAUUGGAUGACGUUAGAAAACCGAUGGACAUUAUUUAUUGAUUUGCUUCAAUUUGUGCAAUUUUAGGUGAGAAAAAGAAAUUGCAUAUCAGAAUGCAUAAUAUAAAAUAAAAAAUUGUGGGUUUGGUAAAAUGAAAAACUAUGUAAAUUAAAAUGAAAACCAAGAGUUGUUUCCUUUGUUUGGGUAUGGACAAGGAAGUAGCCAAGAUACAAGAGACAACAUUUUUCCAUUGUUGUUCCUGUAUACUUUGUUCAGCAAGAUUGAAAAGGAACAAAAAGAAAAUAAGAGUGCACAUUACAGUGAAAAAGGCCUAUGUUAGUUGAUUUAGUAAAUAAUUAUAAGCCUGUUACAGUGAAAAAGGCCUAUGUAAGUUGAUUUACUUUUUUUAUUCUGAUCUAUUUAAAUUAAUGGUUUUUUUAAAAAGCUUGAAUCUGACUUAUUUACUAAACAAGCUAAACCGGUCUGGGUUUUAAGUAAGUCGAGUUAUAAGCCCCUAACAAACGGUCUGGCUUAUUUUAGGAUUUAGGGUUUACCCAAAUGAUCCCUCCACUUCUCCCUUCAACAUAUAUAGCACAACAAGAAUCAAAACCAAACCUAACUCGUAAGAAUUCUAUAGUCAUUGCUUUUGCCAACGUCUCGUACAAAUAAAGAAUAUCAAGAUUUUAUUUUUGGUUAAUAAAAAGUAGUAAUGCUAAAGGAAGAGACAACCCCAAAAAAAUUAGCUCUAAUAUUUAAUGUAAUACUACUAUGCAUGUAGUAGGAAUAAAUGGGAAACGUAUGCUCUUUUUUUUUUUUUUUGUUACCUGGGAAACGUAUGUUUGAUUGUUUAUUGAAUAGUAGAAAAUUGUUGUAAAGGAAUUCUUUUUUCGACGUUAUAAAGGACUCUCUUUAUGCAUCUCCAAUAAACACUAUCUAUACUUUGUAAAAAGAAUACAAAAAUAAAUGUGAGCAUUGAUAGGGAUAUGAUAGCAUCUAGGAAUCGGGUUCCACCUUAGUUUCUUCUCCUUUAUCCAUUACUAACAUAUGAUUUAUGGUCAAUUUUCAACCUCAAAGAGCAUUCCUUUAAUAAAUAGUUUCCCGUUUUUUUUUUUAUUAUUUAAAUAAUCGAUUUUCACAUCUAUUUAGUUUAUUUCUCUAAUUUUUUCAUCAUCUUAGUGCGACGUUAUUUUGUUUGUCGUCUUUGUGUGACAUUGUUUAUCUUUAUUGUCUUGUUUAGAUGUUUGUUUCAUUCAUAUUGUCAUAUCAAGUUUGAUGCAGUGCAUGUUCAAUCAAUGAUUUAAAAAUUGUCAACGUUGUUGUGAGUUUGUUCGUGGAUUCAUCAAUUUUGUUUUUAGCAAAUUCAUAUUGUAUCGGUGUACUCUAUCAAUUUGAAUGAAUAAUAUCAUUUAUUACUAAAAAAAAGUACCGGGUACAAACUUUAAAUUUUCCGUUUAGUUAUCUUAAAGUGAAUUUUUAGCCACUAAAUUAUUUUAUUAAAAAAAAUCACUAUAUAUAAUGAUUAAAAUUAUAAGCGUAAUUUCAGGAGUGAACAUAGACCUUUAUUCAAAAGGGAAUGAACAUAGACGUAUAAUUAAAGGAGAACGAUAUUUCAUUGUCAUUAAUUUGUUUAUUGUCACUACGUGAAUAUUUUCUAAUUAUUUCGUGGGUGACUGCGACUGAGUCUAUUCAACAAAAAACAAAAAUCUACCGACUAAGUCUUCUUAUAAUUCCAAGACAUCGACUUUGAAUUUUUGAUACAACAAUGACCCAAUCUCACCCAAUCUUAAGAGUACUAUCAUAAUUCAUACAAAAUAGGUCAUAUUUUUCGGUCCUUAAAUAGGUCAUAUUAUAUUUUUCGGUCCUUAAAAAAAAUUGAUAUUUGAUUUUUUAAAAUUAAAUUAACAAGGGUAAAAUUGAGAUAAAAAGUGAUAAACUGUAAGUUAUAAGAUAUUUGAAGCAGCUUAAGAAAAAUGGUAUAAGCUCGAAAAAGAAAGUUAUAACUCGUGAGAAAACUUGUUUGCUAAAAAAAUAAAAAAUAAACUCGUGAGAAAAAAAAUUGUUAACAGACAUGUUUUAUCUUAGUCAUAUGAGAUCAUAAAUUAUAAAUUAUUUGUUAUAAGUGACAUUAACCCAAGAACAAUUUCGUAAUAGUGUAUAUAAAAUAAAAUCAUUAAUUAAUAUGGUAAUUCAGAAUAUUUUGAUUGAUUUUGGAUGUAAAACUGUUUUGGACCGUUAAUCUACCACUAUUAAACUCUUAAUACAUUACCAAUUUUUGUUAAUAUGCAAUUGCAUAAUAAAUUAUUUGUGAUUAAGAUAUCAACUGUUAAUUUCUCAAUUUACUGAUUACACGCUUUAGAAGAAUAAGUAAAUUAGCAUUUUAGUUCUCGGAAUAAUAAAGGACAAAUUAUUUAUUCACUAAAAUUUGUGAAAUAAUAAUUAAUCAAUUAAAUAAAAUAAUACUAUCAAUUAAUUCAGUUCCUCAUAUCUUAUGAAAAAUAAAUCAUCAACAUUUAUAAAAGAUUUGCAUGUUGACUUUUUUAAUUUGUAAAGUUCUAACAUAAAUAACGUGGUAAUUUGAAGUUCGAUAUAAUGUUAAGUGAAGUAUGAUAAAUGAUUGUUUUAAGUCAUGAUUCGAACUCAGUUUUUUUCGAACAAUUUAUCUUAAACAAAAGUUAAGUGAGCACUUCAGCUCAACCGCUCGACUGAAUUAUAUAUUAAUUUAUGUUUUUUAUACAAAAAUAAACGAUAUUCAUUCAUUUAAAUUGAUAUAGUACAUCGAUACAAUACGAAUUUAAAAUUGCUAAAAACAAAAAAGGAUGAAUCUACGAACAAACUCAGAGUAUCCAUGUUAAUAGCAUAAAACGGUAGAGUAUAUAUGCCUACAAAUAUACCUAUCAAGCCACUGAAAUACUCAUGUUUCGGAUCUGCAACGUUGACAAUGCAAAAGUCAUUGAUUGAAUCUGCAUUUGAUCAAAGCUAAUCUUUCAACCUGAAUCAAAUAAAAACCGCAUUAAGACAUGAAUAAAAAACACACCGCACAAAGACGAGAAAUCAAAAUAAAUAAAGUUGUGCUAGAUGACGAAUUCACAAAACCAACAAAAGAAAGGUGAAAAUAUGUGAAAAAUUACUUAUUUAACUAAAAGAGAAAGAGAAACAAUUCAUAGGGGUGAUUUCGUGUCAAAAUUGAUAGUAAGUCACACCUUUUUGGUAGAUGAAGAAGAAAAAAAGUCGUGUGACUAGGGUUUAGGAAAGGAAAAGUGAGAGAAUUUCUACCUUAUAUAAUUGAUUUUUUUAUGUUUUAAAACCAAGACAUUUUCUACACGCGACUACGACAACUAAUCUCUCAAUGUAAACGAAAUUCAUCGUAGAAGUUGUCAUCUCUCAAUAUAUAUUAUCUAUACACAAUGAUCAACAGAUUAAAAUAAUGACCACAUAGCCGAGAGACUCAAAUAAAUAUUCAUCAAUUUUGUUACACCAUAUUGGUAUAUAACUUUCAACUAUGUGGUGUUAAAGUCUGAAAACACGACUAAUUAACUAAUACACUUUAAAGUACUAAAGUAUUACUAUUUAACGAAUUUUAGGACCCACCAUGACACCAUUGCAAUAAUUUCAAUUGGAAAAAUAUUUAGCACCGUUUGGUCAGACUUUUUUCGGUCUAAAAAUUAUUUUAAAACAAAGUUAAAAUAAAACUCUUUAAGGAAAAAGUUAAAGUUGUUUGGUUUCUUUAUUUUUUUUAGUUUUUUUUUGAACAAGCCAAAAUGGAAUUAUAUAAACAAAAAGGCAGUCCCAAACGCACAAGGUGUGCCCUAGCGACUACCUCCAAAACCAAGAGUUACAAGAAUUACAACCAAGCCACAACAGAAAGACAUUAGCCAAUACCCAAACAAACAAGAGGGUUUGACCACCACUGCUGAGUUCCAAAAACAAAGGUAGCUUUUUUAACUUUAAGUCAACCUAAAGACAACAUCUUAAUCUUAUCUAAUAAACAAGGGAUGGGGGUAACAACAUGAUUAAACAGACGGUUAUUUCGUUCAUUCCACACAACCCAGGCACAAAGAAGCCAAAUAAGUUGCAUAAAAGAACGUCUAGCAACACCACCACCUGUCAAAUGAGUAAACUGUAAAAAAUGAUCGGAAAUAUUAUAUGUGUCCACCCCAUAGCAACCAAUCCAAUCACGCACCAGAUGCCACAGAGAGCCAAAAGUAUUACACAAUAAAAAGAGAUGUUGCACCGAUUCAGGAUGACCACAACCAGUAACACACGAGGACAUGUCAUGCGACAACACCCGUCUAGCAAUCAAAUUAGUCCUUGUUGGUAAACGAUCUCGGAUGAGCCUCCACACGAAAACGAACACCUUCAAGGGAACCUGUUUGUGCCACACCAAAUCCAAAGCAUAGUCCGCUACCUGAGGAACCUGAGAAGUCAACAAACUAUAUGCACCAUGAACAGUGUAACCACCAGAUGGGUCCGGAAGCCACACCCAGCUAUCUGAAACAUUAGGAUCCAAAGAAACAUCAAGAAUUAAAGCCCUGCACUCCUCUAGCAAGUCCUCAUCCCACUGCCAUAACCUACGUCUCCACCUCCACACAUCCCCCCACUGCUCCGAAUCAACAGAAAGCAAGUCCGCCACGAAUAUAGACUUAUUCUCUGUUAACUCAAACAACCGACUAAACCUCACACGAAGAGGAGCCUCCCCUAUCCACCUAUCGAACCAAAAUGAUGUAUCUGCCCCAUCACCAACUCUCCUCAACACCUGAUCCUCAAACCAGCCGCUACCACCAACACCAACCCUACCCCUAAGACGACUCACCUCCGACCACCAACAAGAAACUCUCCGGCCCCCAACCUGCCACCUAAUUCGCCAUAUCUGGCAACUAAAACCCUAUACCACAAAUCACCUCUAUCAACCAACAACCUCCAACACCAUUUCCCUAACAAUGCUAUAUUAAACUCCUUCAAUCUCCUCACCCCCAAACCGCCACACUCCUUUUUUAAACAAACAGUUUGCCAACUUAACCAAGAUAUUUUCCUAUUAUCCUCACUCCCCCCACUGCUCCGAAUCAACAGAAAGCAAGUCCGCCACGAAUAUAGACUUAUUCUCUGUUAACUCAAACAACCGACUAAACCUCACACGAAGAGGAGCCUCCCCUAUCCACCUAUCGAACCAAAAUGAUGUAUCUGCCCCAUCACCAACUCUCCUCAACACCUGAUCCUCAAACCAGCCGCUACCACCAACACCAACCCUACCCCUAAGACGACUCACCUCCGACCACCAACAAGAAACUCUCCGGCCCCCAACCUGCCACCUAAUUCGCCAUAUCUGGCAACUAAAACCCUAUACCACAAAUCACCUCUAUCAACCAACAACCUCCAACACCAUUUCCCUAACAAUGCUAUAUUAAACUCCUUCAAUCUCCUCACCCCCAAACCGCCACACUCCUUUUUUAAACAAACAGUUUGCCAACUUAACCAAGAUAUUUUCCUAUUAUCCUCACUCCCCCCCCCCCCCCAAAAAAAAAAAAAAUUAAUAAACAAAGAUUCAAUAGAGGAGAUUAUACCUGAUGGAGCUUUGAAGAAGGAAAGUGCAUAGACAGGCAAAGAGGUCAGGACAGAUUUGAGAAGAACCAAGCGACCACCAAAAGAUAGAAACCGACUAUUCCAACCUGACAGUCUAGAUUUAAUACGAUUCACAAUAGGUUCCCAGAAACACAAUCUUCGAGGAUUACCACCAAUAGGCAUACCCAGAUACAAGAAAGGAACGUUACCUACUUUACAACUCAACACGGAAGCAGCCUCAUGUAACCAAGACGACGCAAUAUUCACCCCAACAAGCAUACUCUUAUGAAAAUUCACUUUCAACCCCGACAUAGCCUCGAACAACACAAGGGCCGCCCUUAAAGCACGAACAUUAGCCCAACUUUUAGUUCCUAACAACAAAGUGUCAUCAGCAAAUUGGAGGUGAGAUACAACAACCGGAUUAACCACCCCAAUGCUAUAGCCAGAGAACAGUUGAGCCUCAACCAAAGAUUUCAUCACAACAUUAAGACCCUCCGCGGCCAACAAAAACAAAAAAGGAGACAAAGGGUCACCUUGUCUUAACCCUCUCAUCAACGGGAAUUCAUCAGUUGGACUUCCAUUAACUAAGACAGACGCUGUGGCAGUGCUAACACACUCUUUGAUCCAAUUCCUCCAACGGGAAUUCAUCAGUUGGAAUUCAUCUUUAAAAGUUGUUUGACAAAAUAUUGUAUACCAAAUUUUGUUAUAAGAAUAUCAUAUUUUUGGUGUCAUUUAAAAAGAUAAGAAUUUAUAUUAUAUGAUAUUAUAUUUGUUACAUUGUUGGUGUCAUUGAAAAAGAUAUGUUUAGUUUUUUAAUAAGAAAAAGAUAUGCAUAGUUUGUUACAACAUAAAUGUGUAAAGUAUAUAUAAGUAUAAUUUUUUAGGUAUCUAUACUAGUACUUUUAAUUAAAAUCAAAAUUUUAUAAAAAUAAUAAUUGUACGCAUUGCGCAACACUGAAAAAAUUAUACCCAUUAGCAUAACAAAAAAAAACAGACAUACAGACAUAAAAUAUUACUCUAAACGCUAAUGUGUGUGUGUAUAUUUGUGAGGUUGAAAAAAGGGAAUAAAAAUAUUUGGUGUCAUUCAAUGACAGCAUGAAUAAAAAUAUUUGUGAGGUUGUGAUAAUUAAACGAUAUUAAAAUUAAAUAUAUAAGUGAUAAAAAGAUAAUAAAACUCCUUCAAAAAUAGAUAAUUAAAUUGAUCCUCCUUUAAAAAAAAAUUAUAUGGACCGGUUCAAAAAAAAUUAAAUUGAAGAAAAAACAAAUUGAAAUAUAAUAUUAAAAAAUAAAAUAUAAGGUUGCUGCGUGAGUUGAAGAGGAGUGCUUGUGAAAUAAAUUACAAAGAAGUAGUUUUUUGAAGUAGCAUUCAACAACUUUUGGUUAAAGCUCAUUCCAUUCAAAUUUUAUGCAUUCUAAAAAAAGUACUUUUUUUCGAAGGUAUUUUAUUGAUAUUGUGUUUGGCGUAGCUUCUCCUUAAAAAUGUAGAAAAGUUGAAGAAAAAAAAAAAGUCGGGUCAAACAGUACUUUAAUAUACUCAAUUAAAGUUACUAAUGUACUGGCAAGUAACUUUUAGAGGAAGAUUUUCUUUUUUUAAGGAUUUUAGAGGAAGCUUAGCAACACACUUUUAAUAUACAUUUUUCUAGAAUUUUUUUUUAUUGAUUAAAAUUCAUAUAUAUCCUCAUAAAUCAUGUGGAUUUCAUAUAAUAUAAUAGAAGACACAAAUUUUAACCGACAAAUAGAGUGUAAAAAAUAGAGAAAUGAUAUUUGUACAACCACUUUGUGAUAAUUUUUGGACAAUUUUCUCUCUCAUACUCAUAUUAUAUUCUUACUCUCUUCUUUUUUCUCUCUCCAUUAUUUUUGACCAAUGAAAAGAGAGAAAAGAAAGAUUGUCAAAUAGGUUGUACCAAAUGGUUGUUCAAAUAGGUUGUACCAAAUGGUUGUUCAAAUAUCAUUUCUUUAAAAAAUAUAAGCAUUAAAGAGUUUGUUGUUAACAUUAUUUUAAUUUUUUUUAUGUAAUCCACACUUUGAGUCAUGGAGUGCUUUACUAAUUCAUUUUGUUUUUCGCAACCCAAUUCAAGAUUGUCUAGAAACAAAGAGGACUGACCUAAUAAAUAAAUAUUAAAAUAAGCUACUUGAGCUAAACAAUGAGAUUUCCAAACAAGGUAGGUCCUACUCAAGUUCUAUAAAUAGCAUCCCUCACCAUGUCAUAAACCGCAUCACAAGUUAUAUACUAGUUGUAUUUUUAUUAUAUACUUCUCCUUUCAUUUUCUUCUUGCAUAUUAAUCUUCUUUAUCUUAAUAUAUAUCAUGGGUGUUUUUACUUUCAAUGAUGAACAUGUCUCAACCGUGGCUCCAGCUAAACUAUACAAAGCUCUUGCAAAAGAUGCUGAUGAAAUCGUCCCAAAGGUGAUUUCUGCUGCCCAAAGUGUUGAAAUUGUUGAAGGAAAUGGAGGACCAGGAACCAUUAAGAAGUUAUCCAUUGUUGAAGGUAAUUAAGAGCAUAUACGACGUACAAAUAUAUAAUACUUAAGAUCAAAUGAUACAUAGUGUUCACGUAAAAUUGUUUUACACCGACAACCAAUCAAAUUUAUCAGUACAACAAAGAAUUGUGUAACUACCUUUUAUUUAAAAAUUGAUAAAUAUGAUGUGACAAAUUGAAGAGUUGUGAUUGAUUAAAUGAUUCACAAAUAACUAAGUUAAAUUCAUUAUACCAAAUAAAAGUAAGUUAAAUUCAUUAUACCCAAAAAAAAAAAGUAAGUUAAAUUCAAGUGUAUCAAAAAAAGUCAUUCAAAUCUAUUUGGAUAGUUAUGGUAGUAGCCAUUUAUGUUAUACUUUUAUUUUUAAAAUAG